rnacentral:rRNA from 1 species
AUACGUAGGUGACAAGCGUUAUCCGGAUUUACUGGGCGUAAAGGGCGUGUAGGCGGUCUUGCAAGUCAGAAGUGAAAUUCCUGAGCUCAACUCGGGCGCUGCUUCUGAAACUGCAGGACUUGAGUGCUGGAGGGGAUAGCGGAAUUCCUGGUGUAGCGGUGAAAUGCGUAGAUAUCAGGAGGAACACCGGUGGCGAAGGCGGCUUACUGGGCUUUUACUGACGCUGAGGCUCGCAAGCGUGGGGAGCAAACAGGAUUAGAUACCCUGGUAGGCCACACUGUAAACGAUGAAUGCUAGGUGUAAGAGGUAUCGACCCCUUUGGGGCCGGAGUAAACACAAUAAGCAUUCCGCCGGGGGAGUACGGCCGCAAGGUGGAAACUCAAAUGAAUGGGCGGG